rnacentral:rRNA from 1 species
GACGUAGGGUGCGAGCGUUGUCCGGAUUUAUUGGGCGUAAAGAGCGUGUAGGCGGCCUGGUAGGUCAGCUGUGAAAACUCGAGGCUCAACCUCGAGACGCCGAUUGAAACCAUCAGGCUAGAGUCCGGAAGAGGAGAGUGGAAUUCCCGGUGUAGCGGUGAAAUGCGCAGAUAUCGGGAAGAACACCCGUGGCUAAGGCGGCCCACUGGCUCGAUACUGACGCUGAGGUGCGAAAGCGUGGGGAGCAAACAGG